UAUCUAUGAUGAGGACAUGCAUUUAUUAAGUCUUUAAAUCGUUCCCAAUAGUGGUAAAAUGUUUCCACAUCAUUUUGACCAAAAUUCAUGAUUUGCCUUUUUAUGGCA